rnacentral:rRNA from 1 species
AACGCGAAGAACCUUACCUGGUCUUGACAUCCACGGAAGUUUUCAGAGAUGAGAAUGUGCCUUCGGGAACCGUGAGACAGGUGCUGCAUGGCUGUCGUCAGCUCGUGUUGUGAAAUGUUGGGUUAAGUCCCGCAACGAGCGCAACCCUUAUCCUUUGUUGCCAGCGGUCCGGCCGGGAACUCAAAGGAGACUGCCAGUGAUAAACUGGAGGAAGGUGGGGAUGACGUCAAGUCAUCAUGGCCCUUACGACCAGGGCUACACACGUGCUACAAUGGCGCAUACAAAGAGAAGCGACCUCGCGAGAGCAAGCGGACCUCAUAAAGUGCGUCGUAGUCCGGAUUGGAGUCUGCAACUC